rnacentral:rRNA from 1 species
CUAGCANAGCGAACNGAAUGCUCAUUAUAUAAGUUAUCGUUUAUUUGAUAGUACCUUACUACAUGGAUAACCGUGGUAAUUCUAGAGCUAAUACAUGCUGAAAAUCCCGACUUCGGAAGGGAUGUAUUUAUUAGAUUCAAAACCAAUGCCCUUCGGGGCUCUCNGGGGGAUUCAAGAAACCUUCCCAAACCCAACGGCCCCGCCCCGGCAAGGGUUCAUUCAAUUUUCUUCCNAACCACUUUUCAAUGCNGGUGGCCCUANCAGGGUUGCAACGGGNAACGGGGAAAUAAAAUUUAUAGGUAAAUAANUAAGCUGCCCCCCANUAAAUUACCCAGUAGGGGUACUAGUAGCAAGCANUUUCUACUUAUGCUAAUNACGUAACNAUGUUAUGAAAAAACCCUCCCAUNUUCCUUCCNCUAAAAANAGGANACCGAUGGGUNCNCUAUAAUCCCACGGUAUGNUCAAUUUUNANCCUC